rnacentral:rRNA from 1 species
UAGCUUGACACUGAACAUUGAGCCUUGAUGUGUAGGAUAGGUGGGAGGCUUUGAAGUGUGGACGCCAGUCUGCAUGGAGCCGACCUUGAAAUACCACCCUUUAAUGUUUGAUGUUCUAACGUGGACCCGUUACCCGGGUUGCGGACAGUGUCUGGUGGGUAGUUUGACUGGGGCGGUCUCCUCCUAAAGAGUAACGGAGGAGCACGAAGGUUGGCUAAUCCUGGUCGGACAUCAGGAGGUUAGUGCAAUGGCAUAAGCCAGCU